AUUGAACGCUGGCGGCAUGCUUUACACAUGCAAGUCGAACGGUAACAGGCCUUCGGGUGCUGACGAGUGGCGAACGGGUGAGUAAUGCAUCGGAACGUGCCCAGAGGUGGGGGAUAACGCAGCGAAAGCUGUGCUAAUACCGCAUGUGAUCUGAGGAUGAAAGCGGGGGACCAGGCAGCAAUGUUUGGCCUCGCGCCUUUGGAGCGGCCGAUGUCAGAUUAGGUAGUUGGUGGGGUAAAGGCCUACCAAGCCGACGAUCUGUAGCUGGUCUGAGAGGACGACCAGCCACACUGGGACUGAGACACGGCCCAGACUCCUACGGGAGGCAGCAGUGGGGAAUUUUGGACAAUGGGCGCAAGCCUGAUCCAGCAAUGCCGCGUGCGGGAAGAAGGCCUUCGGGUUGUAAACCGCUUUUGUACGGAACGAAAAGGCUCUAGCUAAUACCUGGGGCUGAUGACGGUACCGUAAGAAUAAGCACCGGCUAACUACGUG
rnacentral:rRNA from 1 species